rnacentral:rRNA from 1 species
CCUACGGGAGGCAGCAGUAGGGAAUAUUGCUCAAUGGGGGAAACCCUGAAGCAGCAACGCCGCGUGGAGGAUGAAGGUUUUCGGAUUGUAAACUCCUUUUGGUAGAGAAGAAAAUGACGGUAUCUAACGAAUAAGCACCGGCUAACUCCGUGCCAGCAGCCGCGGUAAUACGGAGGGUGCAAGCGUUACGCGGAAUCACUGGGCGUAAAGAGCGCGUAGGCGGUGUGGCAAGUCAGAUGUGAAAUCCUAUGGCUUAACCAUAGAACUGCAUUUGAAACUGUUAAUCUAGAGUAUGGGAGGGGUAGGUGGAAUUCUUGGUGUAGGGGUGAAAUCCGUAGAGAUCAAGAGGAAUACUCAUUGCGAAGGCGACCUGCUGGAACAUAACUGACGCUGAUGCGCGAAAGCGUGGGGAGCAAACAGGAUUAGAUACCCCUGUAGUC